rnacentral:lncRNA from 1 species
UCCACACCCAGCAGCAGCUGCACUCUGGGCAGGUCCUUGGGCCCAGGGCAUCCAUUCACUGCUGGCACCAUGCAGAGGGCGACUCCUGGGAUGUUUCAUUUAAUCCUCACAGCAGCACAGUUGUCAGACACCAAGCACACUCAGAGCCUGCACCAGUACACCUGCCUGGCAGUGGGUGUGGAAGAGCCAAAACUGCAAUCAAGACCCCUACCCCCACCGGCCAGGUUCUCAGCGCCCACUGGUCUACGUUCCAGCCUCCUGGAGUCCCUCUGAGUGUGUCUGUGGCUGCAGCUGGACCCAGUUUUGAAUUCUUUUCAAGUUUCAUUUCAAAUGGGAUUUCAGAAUAAAAACGACUACACCCUGCCCUUCCUUCUUCUUGGAUUCACAUGGCGCUGUUGGGGUGGUGGGGGCAGGAGGCUUUCCACCCGUCUUCAGCCCCCAGCUGCUCAGCCUCUCCAAA